rnacentral:rRNA from 1 species
AGUGAACGCUGGCGGUAGGCCUAACACAUGCAAGUCGAACGGCAGCACAGUAAGAGCUUGCUCUUACGGGUGGCGAGUGGCGGACGGGUGAGGAAUACAUCGGAAUCUACUUUUUCGUGGGGGAUAACGUAGGGAAACUUACGCUAAUACCGCAUACGACCUACGGGUGAAAGUAGGGGAUCUUCGGACCUUGCGCGAUUGAAUGAGCCGAUGUCGGAUUAGCUAGUUGGCGGGGUAAAGGCCCACCAAGGCGACGAUCCGUAGCUGGUCUGAGAGGAUGAUCAGCCACACUGGAACUGGGACACGGUCCAGACUCCUACGGGAGGCAGCAGUGGGGAAUAUUGGACAAUGGGCGCAAGCCUGAUCCAGCCAUACCGCGUGGGUGAAGAAGGCCUUCGGGUUGUAAAGCCCUUUUGUUGGGAAAGAAAAGCAGCAGGUUAAUACCCCGCUGUUCUGACGGUACCCAAAGAAUAAGCACCGGCUAACUUCGUA